UUGUGCAGCGUGCUGUCCAGCGGCUUGAUAAACAGACUGUUGUUAUUGAGCGCGACUUUGCCUUUCGCGGUGACCAGCUCGCCGUCGAGCGGGAUAUCAAGAUGUAAGCGAGCGCUUACAUCACCAUCUAUCUGCAGCUCCUCAAGCGCCGCCGCCAGCGAAUCGUGCAGCGGGGUAUCCUGGAAAUACGGGCCAACCGCCUUACCCGGACCAUUGAUAUCAGCAUCAAUCAGCAGCUUUUCUUUCUCAUAGUCCGGAAUGGCCGCCUCAAGAUUGCUGGCCAUCACGCCGCCGAGCGCCGCUUUGUCGGCCUUCAUCCACAGGCCAUCGUUGAUAAAGUUGAGCUCAAUAUUGAGGUUGGUCAACGCCGGCCAGUCAGGCUGGAAGGCAAAGGUCGCGUCAUGCAGCGG
rnacentral:ncRNA from 1 species